UAAUCAUUGAGUUAUUUCACAGAGAUCUGGUUUUCAAUCGAUUCCUCCUCCUUCUUCGCAUGAGUCUUCACUUCCCCUUUCUCAGCUCUUGUAUUUCGAAUGAUUUCCAGAAAUAAAACAUCAAUUCUAGUUUUCCAAGAUUCAGCCUCAUAGGAAACUUGGCUCGAUGCCUCAAAGGAACAUUUCCUGUUUGUUGUUGUGCUUGUGACGUGAUUCAAGAAUCAAGCUUGAAGACGACGAGUUCGAGAUAAGACCCAUUGAGAAUCGAAGGCGGACCGAUGACGCGAUCAAGUGCAAAGCAAGUGAAACAAGCGAUGGAAUUGCUCGUUCAAGAAACCAUUGAUGGAACGAUGUUUGGGACGUAAAACGAGGUAACUUUCAUGUUCGGAUCAAGAGCCGAAUCAAAUUGGAUCAACUCAAUACAAGCUGACGAAAACGAAGGCAAACUGGUCUACCAUGCGACCGCAUAGUAGAAUGGGGCUUGCGAUCGCAUACGGUGUGGCAGGGCCAAUGCGG
rnacentral:lncRNA from 1 species